AUCUGAGCCACCCAGGCGCCCGCUUCCCUGUUCUGUUAAUUAAACUUUGGAACAUUGAAACCUGGGCUGUGGGAGAUGAUUGGAUAGAAAGCAUUACUCUAUUCAUUUACUACCUCCCAGCCUACAAAA